CCCGUCCCAGCCCCGCCGCCGCCCUUCUUCACCUUCAUGGCCUCGCCGGGCCGCCGCUCGCCUGCUGCCGCGGCGGCUGCCUGCGCCGGCUGGAGCCGAGAGAAGGGGGAGCGUCUGCAGCCCCGCCCCCGGCCGGGGCCCCAGGUACCACCCUCAAAAUGAAAGACUGGAAUUCCAGCUUCAAACCUUAAUCAGCAGAACUGUCCAUCCAAAUUCUGCCUUCGUGUACUUUUGCUGUUAUCUUUCCUACAUGCGUGACCAUAUCUUUCCUGGAUGGCUUGCACGGAGGGAGAUGCAGCCUAUCUGUUUCUUUACAAAAAGCACUGGGAGUCAUUUUAAUAAAUGUUUUUGGAUAUGA